rnacentral:rRNA from 1 species
UAACGGCUUACCAAGGCGAUGAUGCAUAGCCGAGUUGAGAGACUGAUCGGCCACAUUGGGGACUGAGACACGGCCCAAAAACUCCUACGGGGAGGCAGCAGUAGGGAAUCUUCCACAAUGGACGAAAGUCUGAUGGAGCAACGCCGCGUGAGUGAAGAAGGUUUUCGGAUCGUAAAGCUCUGUUGUUGGUGAAGAAGGAUAGAGGUAGUAACUGGCCUUUAUUUGACGGUAAUCAACCAGAAAGUCACGGCUAACUACGUGCCAGCAGCCGCGUAAU